ensembl:lncRNA
GCCACAUCCACAGGGCUGGAGCUUUGGGCCUGAGACUCAGGACCUAAAGUUUCCUUUUAGAGUCGGUCCUGGGGAUGCACAUGUGGAUUAAAUUAGAGCAAUAUGUUUUUCUAACAGCAUCUUGGCUGAAAAGCCAAGCAGAUAAAUGGAAACAAACACAGCUUUAUGUGAAUGAAAAGGGGCUGACGAGGCAGCCACUUCUGCCUGAAGCGCCACAGCCAGCAGGGUUGCCCUCCUGGGGUCUCCCCCUCCUCCCGCUUCCCCCUCCAGCCCUGACCCUGGAAGCAUUCACCAGAGGGCUCCUCAAGGCCCCUCACCCAGCCUCUGCCCUGGCUGAACUGGCUUCCUGCCCAUCUCCAAACCCGAUUUGUGCUGCCCACUCUUGACCACAGUCAUCACCUAUGCUGUGCUCUCUGUGCAGCCACCACAAAAAUCCCAGAAGUACAGGGUUCAGAGAACUUCCAGGUUGGUGAACACAGCCACAUACCAGGAGGGUGAAGCACCCUAACUCUAUGGACACAGAAGCUCCUGGACUUGGGACUCUCCUGGAUCUUGCCCUGUGUGUCUCUAUAUCUGGCUGCUCAUCAUAUUUAUCAUAUCCUUUUAUAACCUGGUAAAUGUUGAUUGUGGCAGAACUGAGUUAAAUGGUAGGACAUCCAGCUGAUGUUGCAGACUUGCUUGCUGUGGGAACCGCCCCAGCCCCCCACCACCCCCACCACACACACACAUCUGGUGACCAGAAGCAUGAGAAGUGUUCCAUGUGAAAGUAAAGAGAAAGACGCAGGAGGAUGAAGGAGCAAGUUUUCUUCUUAAUAGAGAGAGAUUGCUAAGACAAUGACAAUGAAGUGUCUUAAGAAUCUGAAUUUAUAUUAAAAAUGUGAAAGUGCCAAACCUCAAAGCAAGUCCGUGGAGCCUAAAUAAGUGGAAUGGGAGUGGAGAAGAAACACGGAGGCGAGGUUGUGAUGUGGCGUGGCGCAGGAGGCCCUGUGGGCCUGCUCAUCUGGAAUUCUGCAGCGCGGUUGUGUGGGAUCACAACGCUUUCCGGCACUUGUUCAUAUCUUAUUGCCACGGGUGAGACGGGAAGCCAGCAGCAGCAUCCCACACAUUCAAAAGACCUGCAUUGCUGGUGGACGGCUUGGACCGGGUCUCUGUUGAGAAGUCCCAGUCAGGGGGAAGGGCUUAUCGCCCAGCAGGUCCCCCUUUUAUCUCCAUAAAGUGGGGACCCCCUGUCUCAGGGUCCUGCUAAGCACCUCCCUUUCUGGGGCAGUUUUUGUAGCUUGCUUUUCCACCAUCUCUCUCUCUAUAUAUAUAUAUAAAUGUAUAUCGUGGUGAUGCGUCCAGAUCUAGGUUAUUCAUUUUAAUUCCUGAAUAUAUUUCAUCAUAUGACUGUACUACAUUUUUUCAUUGGAAUAUAAUUGCUUUAUAAAGUGUUAGUUUCUGCUGUACAAUAACGUGAAUCAGCUGUGUGUAUACAUGUACUACAUUUUAUUUGUCCAUUGCUAAAUUAAUGAAAGUUUAGGAUAGUCCCGGUUUGGUGCUAAUAGACAAUGCUGCAGGUAACACAUUUUAGAUUUCCAUGUGCACCCAGCCUUGGGCACUCUGGGGAAUGUAGCUAAAAGCAGAACUUGCAGGUGAUGGGUUAGUGCAUCUUCGACUUGCUGAGUUCUUGCCCAAUUCACCUCCAAAUUCUGCCGUGAAGGUACAGUCCCACAGGGAACACAAAACCGGUCCCAUUUCCAACAUCCUUGCCAACAGCUGAUGUCAUCAGAAGAUUGUUACAUUUUGCCAUUCUUAUUUAUGUUGACCUAUUUAAUAGUAAGCUUGAAUAUCUUGUCACAUAUUUAUGGACUUCUUUUUUUCUCACCUAUGAUUUGCCUGAUGAUAUCCUGACGUUUCUAUUAGAUUAUUCAUAUUUUUCUUAUUUAUAACAGUUUGCUAAAUACUCUGGAUAUGAUUUUUGUUGUUGUUGUUAUAGGGGUUGUAAAUAUUUCCUCCAAGCUUGUGGACUGUGGGUUUUCUUUUGACUGGACUGUGGCUUUUUUUGUUUAUUUUGGUUUGGUUUUUAACAUUGCUAGUGGUGUCUUUUUGAUGUGCAGAACUUUAAAAUUUUAAUGUGGUAAAAGUCUCUCUUUCUUUUGUGGUUGGUAAUUUUUCUAUUUUAUUCAAAAAAUCCUUCUGUAACCUCAGUGACAUAAAAAUAUUUUCCUAUAUUUUUCUUAAUUCAAAUGGAUUGAGGCAUAAUUUACACACAAUAAAACGCACCCAUUUGAAGUAUAGUGCCUGCCGCAUUUUGACAAAUGUAUACGACCAUGUUGGAGAAGGCAAUGGCACCCCACUCCAGUACUCUUGCCUGGAAAAUCCCAUGGACAGAGGAGCCUGGAAGGCUGCAGUCCAUGGGGUCACUAAGAGUCGGACACGACUGAGUGACUUCAUUUUCACUUUUCACUUUCAUGCAUUGGAGAAGGAAAUGGCAACCCACUCCAGUGUUCUUGCC